CCUACGGGUGGCAGCAGUGAGGAAUAUUGGUCAAUGGACGAGAGUCUGAACCAGCCAAGUAGCGUGAAGGAUGACUGCCCUAUGGGUUGUAAACUUCUUUUAUAAAGGAAUAAAACGAGGCACGUGUGCCUUUUUGCAUGUACUUUAUGAAUAAGGAUCGGCUAACUCCGUGCCAGCAGCCGCGGUAAGACGGAGGAUCCGAGCGUUAUCCGGAUUUAUUGGGUUUAAAGGGAGCGUAGAUGGGUUGUUAAGUCAGUUGUGAAAGUUUGCGGCUCAACCGUAAAAUUGCAAUUGAUACUGGCAGUCGUGAGUACAGUUGAGGUAAGCGGAAUUCGUGGUGUAGCGGUGAAAUGCUUAGAUAUCACGAAGAACCCCGAUUGCGAAGGCAGCUUACUAAACUGUGACUGACAUUGAUGCUCGAAAGUGUGGGUAUCAAACAGGAUUAGAUACCCUGGUAGUC
rnacentral:rRNA from 1 species